UCCAGUAAGGCACUCGCCCUCCACACCGACCUUUCUUCCCUUCUGCUUCGUAACUAUACACCAACAGCUACACGCCCCUGCGCUCUGAUGGUCUCCCGCCGUAAAGGGGCCGGUGAUGCCGUUCACCUCUCCUUCCUGCUGCUGCUCACUAACAUCAUGGCUACCCAACCCUCAGUCAUACAGGGACAUAACAUGGCGUCUGAAGCCGCCAGCUCCAGUCAUUCCAACACCAAUAAUCACAACACCAGCCUUUCUUCCACUGGUCCUGAAAGCUCCGGAACAGCACAGGAAGACAUUACAAGUAGAGUAAAUACCUCAAAAGCUGACAAUGAUUCUGCUGAAAGCAACAACAGUUUUACGGAACAAGCACCUUCCGCGCCGAGGAACCUCUGGGCUCCCCAUCCCACCUUCACCCAGCAUCCUGCUUCCAAAAACAUCAACGUGACGUGGGAUCCCCCGGAGCACCUCAAUGGCGUCAUAUACUCAUACAGUCUUAAAUAUAACGGAGGAGCCUGUGCAGUUCCAGUUUACGAAGGUGAGAAGACUGAUCUUUGAUGUCUUGUGACGGUCAUGCCAGAGACCAACUACACCUUUAAGGUCACCGCCAGAUAUAAAGUUCCGGAGAUUGACAGCGAGGAGGCUGUCUUUAACCUGUCCGUCGGAGCAGGAAUACCAUUCUUCAAGGGGGAACCAGCGUGGGAUGACGAGGAAGACAUGACACAGGAGCGAG
rnacentral:misc_RNA from 1 species